AAAGAGAGUUAAAAAGUGCUUGAAAUUGUCGAGAGGGAAGCGGAUGGAGGCCAACGUUGCUUCCCGGCCGGACGUGGAGCGGAGCGUGUACGCUUCGGUCCGCCGCUCGGUCCGGGAGGCGAGUCCGCGUGGAUCGGCGCCGUGGCACAAGCGUGCGCAGCUGGCUGCGCGCGUGCUGCCGCUGCGACGGUCGAGGGUCCAAGCGCGCGUCCCCUGGAGGGGCGGGUCCUGCGGCGCCUGCGCGCUCGGGACGCGGAUUGCGUGGGCUUUCCAUUCGACCCGUCUUGAAACACGGACCAAGGAGUCUAACAUGCGUGCGAGUCGUCGGGUUUGGAAACCCGCACGGCGCAAGGAAGCUGAAAGGCGGGAUCCGUGCGCGGGCGCGGAGCACCGUCCACCGACCUCGAUCUUGUUGAGAAGGGUUCGAGUGAGAGCAUGCCUGUUGGGACCCGAAAGAUGGUGAACUAUGCCUGAGCAGGGCGAAGCCAGAGGAAACUCUGGUGGAGGCCCGUCGCGAUACUGACGUGCAAAUCGUUCGUCUGACUUGGGUAUAGGGGCGAAAGACUAAUCGAACCAUCUAGUAGCUGGUUCCCUCCGAAGUUUCCCUCAGGAUAGCUGGAGCUCGCGCUCUCGAGUUUUAUCGGGUAAAGCAAAUGAUUAGAGGCAUCGGGGGCGCAACGCCCUCGACCUAUUCUCAAACUUUAAAUAGGUAAGACGGCGCGGCUGCCUCGGUGAGCCGCGUCAACGAAUCGAGAGCUCCAAGCGGGCCAUUUUUGGUAAGCAGAACUGGCGAUGCGGGCUGAACCGAAAGUCGAGCUACGGUGCCUAACUGCGCGCUAACCCAGAACCCACAAAGG
rnacentral:rRNA from 1 species